UCGACAGAGACGACAUCACGAUCACGGUGAAUACGAUCGCGGGUAAACGAACAGAGCCACCUAUAUGUCUUUCGCGGUCAGUAGUCGUCCAGCCAGCGUACAGAGCGCAUGUCGAGAUGCGCGCGUCGCGAUCUUGUGUACACGUUCGUGCUUAUCAGGAUUUUUUCACCUGAAAAAAAUUACGCGAUUUUAAUUAUUCCACCACCGAUCGACUAUUCAUGCCAUUUUCCACCGAUAUCGUGAAAAAUUUUUACACACCCCCGCAUUUUUCACCCUAUUUUGGAACUUUUUCGCACCAUAUGGCCAACAUGCUCAAUCGCCCCGAAUCCCAUGCCGCAGACGAAGAAGACAAACAACAACCGUUGCGAGCUUUUCAACUUUUAUUUGUGCCAAUUGAACGGACAAUCGACGCGAAAGUUGGCGGAGGAGAGAGGCAACCCAAGUGAGAAGGACGCAGUGGUUCUUUCAUCAACAAUUCGAUCAUCUGACACUGGAAUGUUACAAGAAUCACAGGAGGAUCACACAUAAAAUCACCUAUACGGAGGAUGAUCGAGAUUCAACCACCAAUUUAAAAAUAGUUAAUAAAAAUUGGAAUAUUUUGUGUGUUUCAUUUUCCACAAGGAAGUGACUUUAGGGCGUAAUUUACUCAUUUGAUCACACCAUCAAAAUUCAAAGUAUUUCCUACUCUCGUCUUUUGGUUUUUGAAAUGAGACCAAAAAUUCACUAAAACACCAAAAUAGAAUCUAAAGAUGUGAGUGGAAAAAGCAGCUCUUAUGCUGCGAAAAGCAACACGAGCACAUCAUUUCAAAAUUAAUUGUCGAGGUUCAUUUUUAAAUUAUUAUUCUGUUUGCAGAAAAACAUCAGCAAAGAUUUAUGGGUUUUGUUCUCUGAGUAACAAAUACCAAAAAAAAAGACGGAUGUCGAGAAGAAAUUACAUCUUAAUCAUUUCCUUGUGGAUAAAUUUUGGGAAAAUUUCGAGAUUAGAAGUUUUUUGGUGCAAUGUCAAAAUCAAUGGAUUUAAUUAGUGGAGAGAUGUCUCCAAAGUGGCCAGUUUAUAAAUACAGUGCGACUUCAAAACAAAAAUAUCUAAAGAAAACGCAAAAUUAUAGGAUUAACGUACAUUUUGUAAACUAUUUUUAUUAUGUAGGAAUCUGAGACAAUUUCUUUCUGGUGACCUAGGGACUACGACAAACACAAACGAAGAAAACUACUUCAAAAUAAGUGAUAAACGCGUUUAUAUUAUUAAAUUCUACGAAAUGUGUAAACGUAUUUACACCAAAACACUCAAUGUUUACACCAUUGCAAUCGUUCAGUACAGUUCGACUCCAAUAGUGUAAGUGUAAGCGCAUUUACAUCAUUUAAAAUUUACACUACUGAAUUAGUCCAGUACAGUGUAACUCUAAUAGUGUAAGUGUACUUAAAGUAAUGUUUACACUAUUGAAAUCGUUCAAUACAGUACGAUUCUAAUAUUGUAAACGAGUAAGUACUUUGUGUAUAAUUUUACAGUAUUGAAACCGUGCAGUGAAAUUCCACUCCAAGUGUGUAAACGUAUUUACACCAAAAAUUCAAUGUUUACACAAUUGGGACCGUGCAGUAUAGUUUGACUCCGGUAGUGUAAAUGUAAGCGCGUUUGCAUCAUUUAAAGUUCACACUACUGGAUUAGUCCAGUACAAUGCAACUCCAAUAGUGUAAGCAUGCUUAACAUAAUGUUUACACUAUUGAAAUCGUUCAAUACAGUUCGACUCUAAUAUUGUAAACGAGUAAGUACUUUGUGUAUAAUUUUACAGUAUUGAAACCGUGCAGUGAAAUUCCACUCCAAGUGUGUAAACGUAUUUACACCAAAAAUUCAAUGUUUACACAAUUGGAACCAUUCAGUACAGUUCAAAUACAAUAGUGUAAACGCGGUUAGACCGAAAAAUUGAUGUUUACACUGUUGGAACCGUGCAGUUCAGUUUAACUCCAAUAGUCUAAGUUCGUUUAAAUCACUUCGUAUUUACACUAUUGUAAUCGUUCAAUACAGUUCGUUUCUAAAUG